GUUAGUUCAAAGAAUGGCGAAUGGAGGUUGGUUCCACACUUUCCACGUACCCAGUCGAAGAGAAUUGUGUUGAAUGACUGUCACCUUUUGAAUGAAACUUCAGCUUUAUUUAAUAACAAAAUCAACGUACACAGCAAUAAACAAACUGAAAAAGGAAAAAGAUUAUAGCAUAGCACAAGGAGUCCAGGACAACUUGCAUAUUCAGAAAGCCUUGAGCAAAAGAUCACAGUACAAUAUCGUAUCCAGAAAUUAGAAAGCCAAGUUAUAUGCAGGAGAUCGUAGGGAGGAAAGACAGAUUGCUACUAUGGUGGUGGGUUUGGGAAUAGAAGUAAUGGUGGCAUUGGUGGGGCUCUGGGCAGUCUGUUUGCGGCCAUUUCUAUUUGCAUUUGCAGGAGAGAUGGUGGAUGUCAUGAAGUUCCAUGUACGCGAGCUAAUUAGGAGACGUACCCGUAGGCGCUCUCUUUCAUCCUUCCAAUAGUCACAGUCGGGCGAUAUAACAAGCGCUGAUGCUCACCAGAAAAAGUGGACUUCUGGCGGACUUCAGCAACUCAUCAAGUGAAUAAAUAAGGGAUGUCCUUUUAGCUGCUCUAUAAUCCCCAUUCUCUUCAACAUUUUUCACUUAUAUUGUAUCGAAGAGGAAUUGGCCAAUGAAUUGAUAACAUGAUAUACACGAGGGUGUAAUUUUUGCAAUGUUUGGAUUUAAUUAAGGAACAACGUAGUAGUUUUGACAUGUAUUGUGCUUGUACAGUAUAUGGAUAUAUGCAUUGUUAAUUAGUUAAUUUUAUUGCGAGGUUUUAUUUAACAUGAGUAGUUUUCAGCGCCCAUGAGAUUAGAACGGAACUUCUUCGCAUGGCUAGCUCAGAAUCCCAAUCCCAGUAUUGCCAUUUCUGGUUUGACUUGUUAUUGAUUAAUUGUGUUGUCAUGAGAGGUUUCCCUUUAGGUAUUUUGAUAAGAGAAUUGAAUUAUUGACUUGUCAUUUAGCUUUAAUUUUUGGGUUAUUUACACAAUUUAUAGAAAGACAUUCUAUAACUCCAACUAAUUUAAUUGUCAUACAAAGUUCAAACACCAUACAUUUAUAUAGUUGGGUUUUUUUUCUUUCUAUAAUUCAAUUUUUUUUCUUGAAUUUCAACCUCAAAUAGAGUGGUUAUUAAUAAGAGUGGUAUUCUUAAUUGGAUUAUUUUUAUAGGCAGACGUCAUUAAUCCUUGAAUAUGAUCAAUUUCCGUUGGAGUUGCUCAUAAACCACCUUAAAUGUGUUUAAAAAGUUGGCCUGGCAUGAGUUUUCUAAAAUAUCUCAAAAUUUGAGGAAUUUGUCAGCGAUGCAAUCUGAGCGGGCCGCAAGUUAACAAGACUGCAGAUACUCUCUCUGUCUCUGUCUCUCCAUACUCGGUCUAUCCACCACGCACCCCAACCCCCAUUCCCAAUCAACUAUCAAUCCCCACUUCCUUGACUCGUACAUAAGUCUCAUCUAGAUUCUCUUUUGAGGUCGACCAGGAUAGCACUUUGACUACCGAACAUUCAGAGCCUGUAUUCUUCCAACGAUAGAAUUAAUAAUAUGAAUUCGGUCGUUUGAUGCCUCUCGUAUUAAAUAGCACCGAACUAUAUAACCGGUCCCACAAUAUCGUCCAAAAGACGUGUAUUAUUAUUCGGCCGUCUUCUCUUUCCUCUCUCGUGAACUCGGCUGCCCAUCUGAAUUGAAGAUUUGGUAUGCCGUUCUUCCUUUUGCUCUCCAACCCAACAACAACUCUCUAGCUUUGAUAGUGUUUUAUAUGGUUUGUAUGUUUGAUUGAUUUGUGAGGAAGGAUAUGCAAACGAAAUGAAGAAUUAUCACAGAGAGAAUUUCAGAGAAAUGACAACUAACAGGCUGUACAUUGCAGCGGCUCCCAACAAAAAAAACUAUUAACUUUCGACAAGAAAAAAAAACAAAAAAAACAAAAACAAAAAAACAAAAACCAAAAAGCUAUUAACUCUUUUGGACAAACACAAUCUCAGCCUUACAUUGAGGCUUUUAAUCUAGACCCUACAUUUGUCGCUUGACUAUUCAUCACCAUCAUCAUCACAACAACAACAGCUAGCAACAAAAAGCUAACAACUCUUUUGAACAUACACAAUCUCAGCCUUUAUUGAGGCUCUUAAUCUAGAC
rnacentral:lncRNA from 1 species